GAUAACAAGCUAAUCUUCCCCAAGAGCUCACAUCGACGGGAAGGUUUGGAACCUCGAUGUCGGCUCUUCGUCACCUAGGGCUAUAGUACGUUCCAAGGGUUGGGUUAUUCGCUCAUUAAAGCGGUACGUAAGCUGGGUUUAGAACGUCGUGAGGCAGUUU
rnacentral:sRNA from 1 species